GGGAUUGCCUUAGUAACUGCGAGUGAAGCGGCAAAAGCUCAAAUUUGAAAUCGGUGUCCAUAAAGUACAUCGAGUUGUAAUUUGGAGGGACAACUUCGGGCCGAACCACACCGUAAGUUUUUUGGAACAGGACAUCAUAGAGGGUGAGAAUCCCGUGUCUUGGUGUAGGGUCAAACCAUGUGAAGUGUCUCCGACGAGUCGAGUUGUUUGGGAAUGCAGCUCAAAAUGGGUGGUAAAUUUCAUCUAAAGCUAAAUAUUGGCGAGAGACCGAUAGCGCACAAGUAGAGUGAUCGAAAGAUGAAAAGCACUUUGAAAAGAGAGUUAAAAAGUACGUGAAAUUGUUGAAAGGGAAGCGCUUGCGACCAGACUCGAUCUUUGGAGAUCAGCCGGGCUUCGGUUCGGUGCCCUCUUCAUUGAUUGGGCCAGCAUCGGUUCCGGCGGUGGGAUAAAAGGAGGAGGAAUGUGGCUCCCCUCGGGGAGUGUUAUAGCCACCUUCACAAUGCUACCAGUUGGGACCGAGGACCGCGCUUCGGCUAGGAUGCUGGUGUAAUGGUCUUAAGCGACCCGUCUUGAAACACGGACCAAGGAGUCUAACAUCUAUGCGAGUGUUCGGGUGGAAAACCCUUGCGCGUAAUGAAAGUGAACGGAGGUGUGAACCCUUUGCCGGGUGCAACAUCGACUGGUCCUGAUGUCUUCGGAAGGAUCUGAGUAAGAGCAUAGCUGUUGGGACCCGAAAGAUGGUGAACUAUGCCUGAAUAGGGUGAAGCCAGAGGAAACUCUGGUGGAGGCUCGCAGCGGUUCUGACGUGCAAAUCGAUCGUCAAAUUUGGGUAUAGGGG
rnacentral:rRNA from 1 species